CAGUCGCCACGGGAAUACGAAGGGUGCAAGCGUUAAUCGGAAUUACUGGGCGUAAAGCGUGCGUAGGCGGUUUGUUAAGUCUGCUGUGAAAUCCCCGGGCUCAACCUGGGAAUGGCAGUGGAUACUGGCAAGCUAGAGUGUGUCAGAGGAUGGUGGAAUUCCCGGUGUAGCGGUGAAAUGCGUAGAGAUCGGGAGGAACAUCAGUGGCGAAGGCGGCCAUCUGGGACAACACUGACGCUGAGGCACGAAAGCGUGGGGAGCAAACAGGAUUAGAUACCCCCGUAGUCCCUGUCUCUUAUAU
rnacentral:rRNA from 1 species